rnacentral:rRNA from 1 species
UUAAUCGGAAUUACUGGGCGUAAAGCGCGCGUAGGCGGUCUGAUAAGCCGGUUGUGAAAGCCCCGGGCUCAACCUGGGAACGGCAUCCGGAACUGUCAGGCUAGAGUGCAGGAGAGGAAGGUAGAAUUCCCGGUGUAGCGGUGAAAUGCGUAGAGAUCGGGAGGAAUACCAGUGGCGAAGGCGGCCUUCUGGACUGACACUGACGCUGAGGUGCGAAGGCGUGGGUAGCAAACAGGAUUAGAUACCCUGGUAGUCCACGCCGUAAACGAUGUCGACUAGCCGUUGGGGUCCUUGAGACCUUUGUGGCGCAGUUAACGCGAUAAGUCGACCGCCUGGGGAGUACGGCCGCAAGGUUAAAACUCAAAUGAAUUGACGGGGGCCCGCACAAGCGGUGGAGCAUGUGGUUUAAUUCGAUGCAACGCGAAGAACCUUACCUACCCUUGACAUCGAGAGAACUUGGCAGAGAUGCCUUGGUGCCUUCGGGAACUCUCAGACAGGUGCUGCAUGGCUGUCGUCAGCUCGUGUUGUGGAAUGUUGGGUUAAGUCCCGUAACGAGCGCAACCCUUGU